rnacentral:tRNA from 1 species
GGGUGAUUAGCUCAGCUGGGAGAGCGCCUCCCUUACAAGGAGGAGGUCGGCGGUUCGAUCCCGUCAUCACCCACCA